rnacentral:rRNA from 1 species
CACGUAGGGGGCAAGCGUUGUCCGGAAUCAUUGGGCGUAAAGAGUUCGUAGGCGGCUCAGUAAGUCGGGUGUGAAACCUCCAGGCUCAACCUGGAGACGCCACCCGAUACUGCUGUGGCUAGAGUCCAGUAGGGGAGUGUGGAAUUCCCGGUGUAGCGGUGAAAUGCGCAGAUAUCGGGAGGAACACCAGCGGCGAAGGCGGCACUCUGGGCUGGUACUGACGCUGAGGAGCGAAAGCGUGGGUAGCAAACAGG